UCGGAUACCAUUGCUAGAUGGUCACUUCGAUUAGUACAGGAAUUGGUUCCUGUGCUACCGGCUUAGGUUCGAACCUGUGGGGUCACAUAUAUUAGAGGUUCCUAUCUGAUCUGAUGGCUGAUGAAGAGUCCUAAUAUUCAUGGACUAUGAGUCCUACGUGUCUGAGACUCUGUGAUCAAGAAUCAGGAUUCUCUGAUUAUGAGUCCCACGCAU
rnacentral:lncRNA from 1 species